rnacentral:rRNA from 1 species
GAUGAACGCUGGCGGCGUGCCUAACACAUGCAAGUCGAGCGAACGGACGAGAAGCGCGCGUCUCUGAUGUUAGCGGCGGACGGGUGAGUAACGCGUGGAUAACCUUCUUCUAUGACGUGGGUGACUUCGGGAUGCAGGAUCUGCUAAUGGAGGAUACUUUGAACCGCAUGGUUCAAAAGAUAAAUACGGUUUUGCUGUCACUUAUAGACGGAUCCGCGUUGCAUUAGCUAGUUGGUAAGGUAACGGCUUACCAAGGCAACGAUGCGUAGCCGACCUGAGAGGAUGAUCGGCCACACUGGAACUGAGACACGGUCCAGACUCCUACGGGAGGCAGCAGUAGGGAAUCUUCCGCAAUGGGCGAAAGCCUGACGCAGCAACGCCGCGUGAGUGAUGAAGGUCUUCGGAUCGUAAAGCUCUGUUAUUGGGGAAGAACAUCUGUGUAUGUAUAUGUGGCCAUCUUGACGGUACCUAAUCAAAAAGCAACGGCUAACUACGUG